GCCAGUGUGGCAUAGUGGUUUGAGCACUGGACUCUAACUCUGGAAACCAGAGUUCGAAUCCCAGCUGGGCCA